UUUUAUCCCCAGUUCUAAACGAAGGCCAGUUGUGAUAUUAACACAUCGUGAUUCGCCUGAGCUUUAGUUUCCAUCACAGCAGAUGACUCCGCCCUCUUUUAAGGUUGUGUUACUGAUCUGAACCUAGGUGAUGUAAAGCUGCUUAGUCCGACAGUGUACCUGAGCAGGUAAUUAUUCCAGCUGUCCUGGGUUCAGUCAUCACUAACAGACAAGAAUAUGAAGCCUGGAUCUUUCCCCAAGAAUGAAACUGAACCAUCCCGCGGUCCGGACUCCACCGUUUUAUUUUGAAGGUGAGACCGGAAAAGGGCGGCUCAGUGGGACCUUCUUACUGAGCGAAGUUUCGAACAAAUAACUGAUAAACAGGUGAAUUUGUGAGAGCAGGUGUGAUGGCCUCGGAGGAACAGUCCGGAGCAGCAGGAGGGAGGACGAGGAGAAGCAGUAAACAGGAGCCUCCAACAGUGUCACUCAGGUUGGUUCUGGUCGGGAAGACUGGAGAAGGAAAGAGCUCCAGUGGAAACACCAUCCUGGGAAGAGAGGCCUUCAGAGCUGCGUCCAGUCAUUCCUCAGGUAUCACACACACAC